rnacentral:rRNA from 1 species
GAUCCUGGCUCAGGAUGAACGCUAGCUACAGGCUUAACACAUGCAAGUCGAGGGGCAGCAUGGUCUUAGCUUGCUAAGACCGAUGGCGACCGGCGCACGGGUGAGUAACGCGUAUCCAACCUGCCUUACACUCUUGGACAGCCUUCUGAAAAGGGGAGAUUAAUACAAGAUGUUAUCAUGAGUAAACAUUUUCGCAUGAUUAAAGGUUUACCGGUGUAAGAUGGGGAUGCGUUCCAUUAG